GGUAAUUCGGGUGCCUGCGGCGGGGUAAUACGUCGGUGGCAAGGGUUGUACGGAUGCACUGGGCGUAAAGCGCGCGCAGGCGGUCUUCUACGGCUGGGGUGAAAACCCGGGGCUCAACGCCGGGACGGCCUUGGAUACGGGAAGACUUGAGGAUCGGAGAGGCAAGGGGAAUUCCACGUGUAGCGGUGAAAUGCGUAGAGAUGUGGAGGAACACCUGUGGCGAAGGCGCCUUGCUGGCCGAUUUCUGACGCUGAGGCGCGAAAGCGUGGGGAGCAAACAGGAUUAGAUACCCCGGUAGUC
rnacentral:rRNA from 1 species